rnacentral:lncRNA from 1 species
CCUUCACUUCCUUAGUUAAAUUUACCCCAAGUUCAGCAGCGUUAGUCCCACACUCCAUUGAAAAGGCCCAACAAACAGUGAAAAGAAAUGGACUUGAAAGCAACGUAUUGCAAUGCUGAAGACAAAGUAUUGGCUGGAAUGGUAUAUAUUUGGACAGUCAUAACUAUGAUAUUAAAGGAGACAGGCCACGUCUGACCUGCUGUUGAUAUAACCAUAGGCUGGCAACACAUGCCUCAAGAGCCGCACAACCUUCCAUCAUUCAAGAUUCGUGGAGGACAGAUGUUUUCCAUCAGAGUGAUAGUAUUUUUACACUGCUUUCAUUAAACUGUCAUUUCUUAAACUGCUUCAAUUUCAGGCGCCUUUUAUCGCUUUGUUAGUUUUAAUGCAUCUCUCUAUACGUUGGAUGACAGAGACGUAGCCCUGACUUUAAUUGUGUGUAUAUUUCCCAAAAAUUGGGCCAUACACACUCACAGGAGCCCCCUCUGGAAUUGCACCUAAUUGUGAAGUGAAAGCAAUAUGGGAGCAAGCACCAUAAAGAUCACUAGUUAUUCAUGACGUGGAGACUGAGAAGUAUUAUGUAUGUAUUAAAAUGCUUUGAAGUGAAACAUUUAUGCAACUCACUUUGAAAGAAUCAAUAACUUUGAUAUAUUAGUGCAGUUGAAAAUACUGUUCACUUAGCACAAAAUGGAUGUAAGACAGAAAUAAAAUGAAUGUUCAAAACCAACAGCUAUCUGGCAAACUCAAAAAACACCAUCAGUACAAUUGAACUAAAUGAUCCUUUCUGCAACUUCCUCUUUAAUGCAAAGGUUUAAAAGUGUCCAUUGUAUAUCAUUUUGAUAUUAAAUGGCAAUAUUUACUUGAAUUUCCUCAGUUAGAUUUAUUUUAUUUUAUUCUAUUGUUUUCAUGACUUAUAAGGUACAACCAUUAGAAUCUUAGUUCAAACGUAGGCUUAGAAGGGGAAAUUUAUUCCUAAACCAUAAUUAGUAGAGAAUGGUGACUGUUUGAACCAUUAUGCAUAAGAGUUAAUUGAUGAGAGAGAACC